rnacentral:rRNA from 1 species
GAUGAACGCUAGCUACAGGCUUAACACAUGCAAGUCGAGGGACCGGCGCACGGGUGAGUAACACGUAUCCAACCUACACUUUACUCAGGGAUCGCCUUUCGAAAGAAAGAUUAAUACCCGAUAUAAAGGAUGGGGAUGCGUUCCAUUAGGUUGUUGGUGAGUUAACGGACCACCAAGCCUUCGAUGGAUAGGGAUUCUGAGAGGAAGGUCCCCGACAUUGGAACUUAGACACGGUCCAUACUCCUACGGGAGGCAGCAGUGAGGAAUAUUGGUCAAUGGGCGCUAGCCUGAACCAGCCAAGUAGCGUGAAGGAUUAAGGCUUAUGGGUCGUAAACUUUUUUUAUAUAAGAAUAUGUAUUAUAUGAAUAAGGAUCGGCUAACUCCGUGCCAGCCGCCGCGGUAAUAC